GACGAACGCUGGCGGCGUGCUUAACACAUGCAAGUCGAACGGAGUGCCUAAGAAAGAGGAUUCGUCCAAUGGAUUAGGUUACUUAGUGGCGGACUGGUGAGUAACGCGUGAGGAACCUGCCUUCCAGAGGGGGACAACAGUUGGAAACGACUGCUAAUACCGCAUGAUACGUCGAAGCCGCAUGACUUUGACGUCAAAGAUUUAUCGCUGGAAGAUGGCCUCGCGUCUGAUUAGCUAGUUGGUGGGGUAACGGCCCACCAAGGCGACGAUCAGUAGCCGGCCUGAGAGGGUGGACGGCCACAUUGGGACUGAGACACGGCCCAA
rnacentral:rRNA from 1 species